GGAACCCCGUCCUCGGAACAAGAAAGCUGCUUGUGCCUGCUUGCCUGCCUUGCCGCCUGCCUGCUAGCCACAGCCAGCCACCCCAAGUUCCCUUCUAGAUAGAUUUUCACCAACGGCACCUCCGCCUUGGCCGGUUAAACAUGUACACAUCCAGACACCCGGAAGACGAGCGGCAACCUACGUAUAUGGACUGGCCCCUGACUGUGAAAUGGAUCGAAGAUUAGAGGAUCGCGAGGAAUGAGUGUUAGAAAUCAUUUCUCAAGGAUCACCCGGUAUACGCGCAGGCCGAUCUGUCCGCGUAAUAUUAUAGUCCGGGAUGGGAACGGGACCGAGCAGUGAAAUUUAUUGAAUAAAUGAAGGUCAAGCGGCAAAAGAGAGGCCGGGAUUCUGUCGUGACGCAGAAAAAUCAAAUUAAACAGCCGCUUUUAAGUUGAAUUAAAACGAAUGCGCUUAAUUAAAGCGGCCUCCGCCGCUCAACUAACUAAAGGAGUUUUAUUGACGGCGACCGACUCUCCUUUGUCGGUCCCACCGUGUACCCUUUCAUUAUUACGUUAAAAGAUGCCCUCGCCUUUUUGGUUUUGUCGCAAAUAACCCGCGAUUUUUCUCGACGUUAAGGGUUGUCCCAUUUCUUACGGUUUUUCACCAGAUCCCUUCUCCGCAGCUCAAUUUCACAGUUUUGAAGCUUUUCCUGAACUUUACUGUAACUGGCACGAUUAUUUAUUGCGAGAGACUCAAAAGUGAAAGGUAAGAACUUACAUUAGAAUAAGUAUAGAAUCGUGAAGCAUCGAAACAAAGUAAAGUGAUCGACGCUCUUCAGGUGUCAGUAGAAGUGAAGUGUCGAUAUUUUGGUGUUGAAAAGAGCAAUGCUCACUUUUCCUAAGAGCUAAUCUAAUUCCUGUACAGGCUUGGAAAGUGAGCCAGGAAUGGCGCCAGGAUUAAACCGAUCAAUCCGUGUAACGAGUUUACGAUCCGACGUUUAUCGGUCAGAAAAACGAGCAUGCCCGUGACAAAAGGAGUCAUAACGGAACCCGCGUUCGCCAGGCCGAGCAACGACGAGCGCGUUAACGGUGUUCGAGGUUUCACCGCGCUAAAUACACACCCGACACGUUUUCGCCUCUCACUCUCGUCGCGUUAACGUCGAUCCUCUUUUGUACGCUCUCCUCUCCUUCACGCCGCUCCUCUCCACGCCCGAGAGGCACAUCAAUCGCGAUGAAAGGAGAGGGACCGCGCGAUUCAGCGAAAACCGAAAAAGGAUCGACGGGAACGAGAGAAGGACGGACGGAUUAGAUGGGGAAGCUUCCCCCUGUUCACUGUGGGAAUUUCUAAUUGCACGCCAAUGUCCUGGUUACGGUUAGGGGAUUUUUCUCUGGGGGAUGCCGGGAACCGAUUGUCUAUUAGGACACCGUGGAUUAUUCAGGAAUCGCAAUUUCUCUUUUGCCACAUGGGCCGCUAUAGGAUCUCUUAUUGCAUUUCAAACUGUUGAUUUUAUUUAGGACAGAACCGUACCAAAUCCUAUUUUAUAGAAUUGACAAUUCGCGUUCGAACUAUUCAACUGCGACCAUUCUGUUCAUCUCUCGUUGCAAAUUGACUAUUCUGUCAUUCUCUCGGAGCAGCAUACACUCUUCUAGUAUUAAACGGUCAUUAAUUAUUCUCCAUCCCUUUUAUCCACCGCCGCGAUCCUAACAGUCGCAAGCGAGACGGUACAAGCCGAAUCCGUUCGUCGAUGGUGAUCAAGAGGAGGACGAAACUCGCCGGGCCGGUGCCAGCUGAUUUAACUCCGUCCCGCCGGGGAACAAUGAGACGGCUACGUCGAAAACCGUGGUUAUUUAAUACAGAUAUUUUUCAUAAGUCGCAUUGUGUGCAAAUAAACAGGCGAGGAGCAAGUACCUAUACAUAAGUGCGCGAGGAAACGGUCUUCCGAUGCGCGUUCACGCGACUGGCUAAGCUCCUCUCCUCUGCCGUUCGUAAUUCGCAACGCGCGCGGCGUACACGCCGCGAGGCGCGCCGCGUGUUAAUAAAUCUCGUGAGAUCUUCUGGCCUGCGCGGUGAGAAAGAGAGAGAGAGAGAGAGAGAGAGAGAGAUAGAGUGAGAAGGAGGGUGGGAGGAAGAAGAGAAAGGACGACGACGCGGCGAGAAAACGAGCAAAGAGGAAAACACGGAGGAGAAAGAAACGAGCGGACGGACCUCGCCGCACACGAAGGGCGCGCGAAAUUUCUUCUGCUUCGUCUUCCGUAUAUACUCUUCGGUUAAACCGAGUUUCGAAUUUCCUUGUUUACCUAAAUCGACACAAGCAUUCUUCUACAGCAAACAAAAAGAGUACAGGGAAAUUAUUAGAAGUAAUAGUAGCAUCUCUUGUCAAAUUGGUGUACAAGUCAGAGUGAUCGAUUUCCAACUUUGUAGAAAAAUUGUAUCGUUAUUUUAUAGAAGCUCUUUAUUUAUAAAUUCACUUAGUAAACAAAUUGACUAUUAUCUACGUUUAAUUGUAAAAAUAAUACGUUGUUCAAGGAGCGGUCAUUUUGACCGGAAGGAGAAAAGUGCCGGUAGGUUUAGUGUUAAAAAUCAUCAUAAAUACGAUGAGCUAUGAGUCGCUUCUUUACAAAAAUUGUUUUAUGAUCGGUGUGCGUGACAAUUUAAAGGAAACGGGUAUCUAUGCUUUUUUCCGCGUGAGAACACGUGAGGAACGAUUGUCUUUAAACCCGUCCCGGGAUGAUUCGCAGAUUCCUGGGUGAGUGACAUGUGUCACAAGGUGUGUCGAACCCUUAUUUAGCGUUGCAUCAAAAGCUAGCCCACUUCCAGUCACACGCAUGUACGUCUACAGACACACAUACGUAAUCUGUAGUAGUCUGGCCCCCCUCAUUGUCAGUCUUUCUAAUACGGACCGCGCGUACGAUCGAAUUUACUUUUUUUUUCUCUCUCUCCUUUCUCUCUACUCUCCGAGUUUUUUUUAUAUACGUUCUUCCUCUUCUUUGACGUACAGAAGAGGGAACGGAGAGGAUUCCCGGACACAAUGCGACGUAAUUGGAAGUCACCGGAUGCUGAGAAUUGGCCGUUUCCCAUGAUUCGUGAAUUUAUAGGUGCUCGAGACCCGCUGCGCUACGAUCCGCUCUACUGUUUUAAAUUUUCGAACAGUUUCCAUUUCCAAUGAACGUGACUGUGGCGAACCUCACGCAGCAUUGGUAAAACAAUUGUUUUGUUAUAUUUUAUUUGAUCAUAGAUUUAUAGAGAUAUUACAUCUCUAUAAAAUAGAUAAAUAAAUAGAAAGGUAGCAUAAGUCUAUGGAUUUGGCUCAUUCAUAUUUGAUGUAAUCUCGUGUUGUAAAUUUCUAUACAUAUUACACUUAGCAUAUCAGGGAUUAUCUUGUUCUCCAAGAGAUCAAAUUGUGCAUUGUGUGACAUGUACGCAUCAUAAAACAUGUAGAAAUAAUAAUAAAUAUUGAUGAGACUGGAAUUUAUAAAAUUUACUAUUCUUCCAAAUUUAAAAAUUUUUUGCAAACCACGUUUUUUCGUCUGUACAACGUUAAGUGGAACACGCGAUUUAACUCGUUUGCAUCGAUACAAAUUGGCUACACGAUACGAUCGUCACGGUUGAAGGCGCCUUGGCUUUCCCUCCCGAACUCGAAAUAGCGUCGAUCAGCGUUCGAACGGUAGCGCGGUAGCAGUGAUCGUGAAUAGCGAUGCCAGCAACCCUCGGGACACCCUCGACAAAUAAGUACAAACGGUGCAAAGUGCCCGCCCCGUUUCCACCGUUUAUUGG